rnacentral:rRNA from 1 species
GAUGAACGCUGGCGGCGUGCCUAAUACAUGCAAGUCGAGCGAAUGGAUUAAGAGCUUGCUCUUAUGAAGUUAGCGGCGGACGCGUGAGUAACACGUGGGUAACCUGCCCAUAAGACUGGGAUAACUCCGGAAAACCGGUGCUAAUACCGGAUAACAUUUUGAACCGCAUGGUUCGAAAUUGAAAGGCGGCUUCGGCGGUCACUUAUGGAUGGACCCGCGUCGCAUUAGCUAGUUGGUGGGGUAACGGCUCACCAAGGCAACGAGGCGUAGCCGACCUGAGAGGGUGAUCGGCCACACUGGGACUGAGACACGGCCCAGACUCCUACGGGAGGCAGCAGUAGGGAAUCUUCCGCAAUGGACGAAAGUCUGACGGAGCAACGCCGCGUGAGUGAUGAAGGCUUUCGGGUCGUAAAACUCUGUUGUUAGGGAAGAACAAGUGCUAGUUGAAUAAGCUGGCACCUUGACGGUACCUAACCAGAAAGCCACGGCUAACUACGUGCCAGCCGCCGCCGUAA